AUUGAACGCUGGCGGCAGGCUUAACACAUGCAAGUCGAGCGGGGUGAUGGUGCUUGCACUAUCACUUAGCGGCGGACGGGUGAGUAAUGCUUAGGAAUCUGCCUAUUAGUGGGGGACAACAUCUCGAAAGGGAUGCUAAUACCGCGUACGUCCUACGGGAGAAAGCAGGGGAUCACUUGUGACCUCGCGCUAAUAGAUGAGCCUAAGUCGGAUUAGCUAGUUGGUGGGGUAAAGGCCUACCAAGGCGACGAUCCGUAGCGGGUCUGAGAGGAUGAUCCGCCACACUGGGACUGAGACACGGCCCAGACUCCUACGGGAGGCAGCAGUGGGGAAUAUUGGACAAUGGGGGGAACCCUGAUCCAGCCAUGCCGCGUGUGUGAAGAAGGCCUUAUGGUUGUAAAGCACUUUAAGCGAGGAGGAGGCUCUUUUGGUUAAUACCCAAGAUGAGUGGACGUUACUCGCAGAAUAAGCACCGGCUAACUCUGUGCCAGCCGCCGCAGUAA
rnacentral:rRNA from 1 species